UUUAACUUUAGUGAAACUCAAAACUGAUAAAAGCUGUAACAAAGAACAUUUGGAUUAAUAACGCAGCAAACUUUGUAGAAAAACAGUCAAGUGGCCUACAGAAAUAGUUUUCCAAGUAUGUCAUCUGAUAUGGAGGUUAACAACGAAUUUGUUGGAGAAACCGGACAGUCAGACCUAACACUGGUUGUUGAAGACCAUAAAAUACCCGUGUCGAAAGCCGUUCUGUGUAUUGCUUCACCUGUGUUCCGUGCCAUACUAGCUGGAAGGUGACUAUCAGGAGAAGACAAUGAGUGAAAUACCAUUGCCAGGGAAGAUGUAUGAGGACUUUGUAGAAUUCCUCAGAUGUAUUUAUCCUGACAAGUUAAAGAAAGUAACAG